CAAUAGCGUAUAUUAAAGUUGUUGCGGUUAAAAAGCUCGUAGUUGGAUUUCUGUCGAGGGUGGCCGGUCCGCACUUUGUGCGUGCAUCUGGUUCAGCCUUGGCAUCCUCGUGGGGAACGUAUCUGCGCUUAAUUGCGUGGUGCGGUAUUCACGACUUUUACUUUGAGGAAAUUAGAGUGUUCACGGCAGGCAAUCGCCUUGAAUACAUUAGCAUGGAAUAAUAAUAUAGGACCUUGGUCCCAUUUUGUUGGUUUCUGGAACUAAGGUAAUGAUUAAUAGGGAUAAUUGGGGGCAUUCGUAUUAACACGUCAGAGGUGGAAUUCUUGGAUUGUGUUACGACGAACUACUGCGAAAGCAUUUGCCAAGGAUGUUUUCAUUGAUCAAGAACGAAAGUUCGGGGAUCGAAGACGAUUAGAUACCAU
rnacentral:rRNA from 1 species